rnacentral:lncRNA from 1 species
GAGACAGGGUUUCUCUGUAUACUCCUAGCUAUCCUGAAACUCAAUCAAUAGAGGCUGGCCUUGAAUUCAGAUUCUUCUGCCCUGAUUCCCCAGUGCUGGGCUUGAAGCGUAUCUUCCGAGUCUGUGCCAGCCAAGCUUCCGUCCAGGACCCGCACUGCACAGCCCAGGCACCACCAAGACCCCUACAAGGCCGGACUGAGCCACUAUGUGAAGCUCUUCAGUUUCCAUACUAAGAUGCCCGUGGAGAAAGCGGCUCUUGAGAUGGUAGAGAAGUGACGAGUAUUUCCAGCGCCUUUGCAAUGAUCUGGAGGUAUUUGCUGCUCAUGCCGGCCGUAAGACUGUGAAGCCAAAGGACUUAGAGCUGCUGAUGCGACGACAGGGACUAGUCACUGAUCAAGUCUCGCUGCAUGUGCUUGUGGAGCGGUACCUGCCCUUGGAGUACCGGCAACAACUUAUCCCCUGUGCAUUCAGAGGCAAUUCUGUCUUUCCUGCACAGUAGGACCAGGCCUUAGCUGGCACCUACUCUCCCUACCUUGGGCAUCUAAACAAUUGUCAAGGUUCCUCAUCUCCUAGCACCAAUAAACUCUCACAAAUG